rnacentral:rRNA from 1 species
UACGGAGGGUGCAAGCGUUAAUCGGAAUUACUGGGCGUAAAGCGCACGCAGGUGGCUGAGUCAGUCGAUUGUGAAAGCCCUGGGCUUAACCUAGGAAUUGCAGUCGAUACUACUCGGCUAGAGUAUGGGAGAGGGCAGUGGAAUUCCCGGUGUAGCGGUGAAAUGCGUAGAUAUCUGAAGGAACAUCAGUGGCGAAAGCGACUUCCUGGACCAAUACUGACGCUCAUGUGCGAAAGCGUGGGGAGCAAACAGG